UCCCUGGUGGCUCAGAUGGUAAAGAAUCUGCCUGCAAUGCAGGAGACCCAGGUUCAAUCCCUGAGUCAGGAA
rfam:TPA: Bos taurus chromosome 8, whole genome shotgun sequence.